CCUACGGGUGGCAGCAGUGAGGAAUAUUGGUCAAUGGACGAGAGUCUGAACCAGCCAAGUAGCGUGAAGGAUGACUGCCCUAUGGGUUGUAAACUUCUUUUAUAAAGGAAUAAAACGAGGCACGUGUGGCUUUUUGCAGGUACUUUAUGAAUAAGGAUCGGCUAACUCCGUGCCAGCAGCCGCGGUAAUACGGAGGAUCCGAGCGUUAUCCGGAUUUAUUGGGUUUAAAGGGAGCGUAGGUGGGUUGUUAAGUCAGUUGUGAAAGUUUGCGGCUCAACCGUAAAAUUGCAAUUGAUACUGGCAGUCUUGAGUACAGUUGAGGUAGGCGGAAUUCGUGGUGUAGCGGUGAAAUGCUUAGAUAUCACGAAGAACCCCGAUUGCGAAGGCAGCGUGCCGGGCCGCCACUGACGCUGAGGCACGAAAGCGCGGGGAUCGAACAGGAUUAGAUACCCGUGUAGUC
rnacentral:rRNA from 1 species